rnacentral:siRNA from 1 species
UCAAAAUAUUUUGGGUUGCUUC